ACGAACGCUGGCGGCGUGCUUAACACAUGCAAGUCGAACGGGAUCCAGAGCUUGCUCUGGUGAGAGUGGCGCACGGGUGAGUAACGCGUGGAUAACCUGCCCUGGUAUCUGGAAUAACAUCUCGAAAGGGGUGCUAAUACCGGAUAAGCCCACGGGGUCCUCGGACUCUGCGGGAAAAGGUGGCCUCUGAAUAUGCUACCGUAUCAGGAUGGGUCCGCGUACCAUUAGCUAGUUGGUGGGGUAAUGGCCCACCAAGGCGACGAUGGUUAGCUGGUCUGAGAGGACUGAUCAGCCCGAUUGGAACUGAGAUACGGUCCAGACUCCUACGGGAGGCAGCAGUAGGGAAUCUUGCGCAAUGGGGGAAACCCUGACGCAGCGACGCCGCGUGAGUGGAUGACGGCCUUCGGGUCGUAAAGCCUCUGUUAGCAGGGAAGAAUGGGGGCUAAUAUCAGUCUGACGGUACCUGGUGAAGGAAGCCCCGGCUAACUACGUGCCAGCAGCCGCGGUAAUACGGAGGGUGCGAGCGUUGUCCGGAUUUACUGGGCGUAAAGCGCGCUGUAGGCGGCUUCUUAAGUCUGAUGUGAAAGUUCACUGGCUCAACAGUGACAGUGCCUUGGAUACUGGGAGGCUUGAAUAUGGGAGAGGGCAGUGGAAUGCUAGUGUAGCGGUGAAAUGCGUAGAUAUCAGUCGGAACACCCAGGUGGCGAAGGCAGGCUACCUGGACCGAUACUGACGCUGAGGAUGCGAAAGCGUGGGGAGCGAAACGGAUUAGAUACCCCUGGUAGUCCACGCCGUAAACGAUGAGUAACUAGGUGUCAGCGGUAUCGACCCCUGCAUGUGCCGUCAGCUAACGCAUUAAGUCACUCCGCCUGGGGAAGUACGGUCCGCAAGACUUAAACUCAAAGGAAUUGACGGGGGCCCGCACAAGCGGUGGAGCAUGUGGAUUAAUUCGUCACGAACGCGAAGAACCUUACCCUGGCUUGACAUCCUGGGCACCUCGUGAAAGCGGGCGGUCGCCUUCGGGAGCGCAGAGACAGGUGUUGCAUGGCUGUCGUCAGCUCGUGUCGUGAGAUGUUGGGUUAAGUCCCGCAACGAGCGCAACCCUCAUCCUUAGUUGCCAUCAUUAGUCGGGCACUCUACAGGAGACUGCCCGGUGUCAAACCGGAGGAAGGUGGGGAUGACGUCAAGUCCUCAUGGCCCUUACGUCCAUGGGCUUACACACAGUGCUACAAUGGACGGCUACAAAGAGCAGCAAUACCGCGAGGUGGAGCGAAUCUCAAAAAUCCGUCCUCAGUUCGGAUUGCAGGCUGCAACUCGCCUGCAUGAAGCUGGAAUCGCUAGUAACCGCAGGUCAGCUAAACUGCGGUGAAUACGUUCCCGGGCCUUGUACACACCGCCCGUCAAGUCACCUGAAUUGUCUGCACCCAACGCCGGUGGCCUAACCUUCGGGAAGGAGCCGUCUAAGGUGCGGGGAGUAAGGGGGACU
rnacentral:rRNA from 1 species